UAGGGAAUCUUCCGCAAUGGGCGAAAGCCUGCCGGAGCAACGCCGCGUGAGUGAUGAAGGUCUUCGGAUCGUAAAACUCUGUUAUUAGGGAAGAACAAAUGUGUAAGUAACUAUGCACGUCUUGACGGUACCUAAUCAGAAAGCCACGGCUAACUACGUGCCAGCAGCCGCGGUAAUACGUAGGGUGCGAGCGUUGUCCGGAAUUACUGGGCGUAAAGAGCUCGUAGGUGGUUUGUCGCGUCGUCUGUGAAAUUCCGGGGCUUAACUCCGGGCGUGCAGGCGAUACGGGCUGACUUGAGUGCUGUAGGGGAGACUGGAAUUCCUGGUGUAGCGGUGAAAUGCGCAGAUAUCAGGAGGAACACCGAUGGCGAAGGCAGGUCUCUGGGCAGUAACUGACGCUGAGGAGCGAAAGCAUGGGUAGCGAACAGG
rnacentral:rRNA from 1 species